CGAUUGAGGGUGAUCUGGCUAUGACAUCGGUCACCCCAUUGAUCACCAGGGCUGAGUUGGCUGGUCUGACUUGCAAGGCAGCUGCCCCUGUUCUCUCUCGCUGCUCCGUGUGUGUUCCUCCUGAAGAUUCACCCGUGGUUGAAGAGGAUGACCACUCCCAAUAGAAGAGGAUCAUUCUUAGGUCAAGGGUAUACGAAUAGCUACACUCACCUGCUAGAACCUCCAAACAAGCUCUCAAAGAAUCACUGAGAGUGAAGACAGCCUAUAUGAAACUACACAGAG
rnacentral:snRNA from 1 species